rnacentral:rRNA from 1 species
UACGUAGGGGGCAAGCGUUGUCCGGAUUUAUUGGGCGUAAAGAGCGUGUAGGCGGUUAGGUAGGUCCGUUGUGAAAACUCGAGGCUCAACCUCGAGACGCCGAUGGAAACCAUCUAACUAGAGUCCGGAAGAGGAGAGUGGAAUUCCUGGUGUAGCGGUGAAAUGCGCAGAUAUCAGGAAGAACACCGAUGGCGAAGGCAGUUCUCUGGGCCGUAACUGACGCUGAGGAGCGAAAGCGUGGGGAGCGAACAGG